rnacentral:misc_RNA from 1 species
AAGACGCUAGUCUAAAAAUUUACACGCACUUUUCAUCACCUCUACACCUGAAGCACAAACGUUACUACUUUCACGGUCAGCUGCGCCUACAUACUCACAUGUACAAGCAAGACUACUGAAUGAGGCACACAAGAGCAUCAGACCAAUUUCCAAGGGGCACUAGCUAUUUUUUCAAAAUUAUACCGGGAAUCUUUAAUUUGUACGUUUACAGAAUCCAUGUGCGACUGCAACCUGGUAAUCUCAAGAUCCUUGCUCUCCAUCUUUGACUUAGAUGCAACAAGUUCUUCUUGCAACUCAAGUACCUUCUUUUCGAUAUCAUUUAUCUUUGCUUCCAAUUUGCUUCUCUCAUCAGUAUGCUCCAUUAUCUGCCUUCCAACAUCUUUUGAUUCAUUCAGAAGCUCUUCUUUCCCAUAUUUAAUUGAUAGCAAUUCAUUCACACGGUCUCGUAGCAUGGUUACAUCAAAUCCAUGCAUCUCCAAAUCAGAAAGACUUUCCAAUGUACUCUCCAAUAUGCUUUUAGAAUCAUCAAAUUGCAGUGAUGUUAUCUUCUCAAACAAACUGGCAAAGGUUACCAUAAUACCAAUGGCUGAU